rnacentral:rRNA from 1 species
GAUGAACGCUAGCGGCAGGCUUAACACAUGCAAGUCGAGGGGUAUAGGGAGCUUGCUUCCUAGAGACCGGCGCACGGGUGCGUAACGCGUAUGCAAUCUACCUUUUGCAGAGGGAUAGCCCAGAGAAAUUUGGAUUAAUACCUCAUAGUAUAGCAGUUUCGCAUGAAACCACUAUUAAAGUCACAACGGCAAAAGAUGAGCAUGCGUCCCAUUAGCUUGUUGGUAAGGUAACGGCUUACCAAGGCAACGAUGGGUAGGGGUCCUGAGAGGGAGAUCCCCCCACACUGGUACUGAGACACGGACCAGACUCCUACGGGAGGCAGCAGUGAGGAAUAUUGGACAAUGGGCGCAAGCCUGAUCCAGCCAUGCCGCGUGCAGGAUGACGGUCCUAUGGAUUGUAAACUGCUUUUGUACAGGAAGAAACACUGGUUCGUGAACCAGCUUGACGGUACUGUAAGAAUAAGGAUCGGCUAAC